ACAGCUUCAUUUACCUCAGAGUUCAAACCCUGACUGAAACAGCUAACUGAGGUAGAAGCUGUGAGGGAGUCUGGGGUGUCCUGUAUAAAGCCCAGAUGAGGUGGACGUUGCAGCAUUUUGAGCCAAUAAUAUUUCAGUGCCAGCUGAUGCCGUUUCUGGUGUUCUCACACAUCAGUCUGUGUCUGCCAGCGUGUGUCCGCCGUAUACCAUCACUUCACAAGCUACCAGGACAGGCAUCACCAAGCCACCUUCUGCACAUGUUGCAACAGCAUGGCCGUGUAAUCCAAGAGUGCUAUUGGGUGCUAGACUAAACUGCCUGCAGGACAGACCUGUCCUAAUGGUUCCUCAGCUGAAGAAACAUCAAAAAUUCCACUUUCAGACCUGGAUCAGUCAUGGAACAUGAGAUUAUGACCUUCAUUAUCUGAAAGGUCAACUCCUAAGACCAUAGCACAUCAGUACCUUUCAGACUGUUGCAGGAAACCCACACAGACACAUGCAAAUUACACUCAGUAAAGAACCCGGACCACUCCACCUGAGAAUGGAACCCAGGACCUUCUUGCUGUGAGGUGAGGUGAACUGACAGAACUAGAAAGAAAAGACUUUUAAUGUUAAAUUAGAACCACAAUGCUGCAAAACUGUUGUUAUGUAUCAUGCACGUCUCAAUACAGUGUAGAACUCAGAA